GAUUCGUCACACUAUCAUUAACUGAAUCCAUAGGUUAAUGAGGCGAACCGGGGGAACUGAAACAUCUAAGUACCCCGAGGAAAAGAAAUCAACCGAGAUUCCCCCAGUAGCGGCGAGCGAACGGGGAGGAGCCCAGAGCCUGAAUCAGCAUGUGUGUUAGUGGAAGCGUCUGGAAAGGCGCGCGAUACAGGGUGACAGCCCCGUACACAAAAGCGCAUGUGCUGUGAGCUCGAUGAGUAGGGCGGGACACGUGGUAUCCUGUCUGAAUAUGGGGGGACCAUCCUCCAAGGCUAAAUACUCCUGACUGACCGAUAGUGAACCAGUACCGUGAGGGAAAGGCGAAAAGAACCCCGGCGAGGGGAGUGAAAAAGAACCUGAAACCGUGUACGUACAAGCAGUGGGAGCACCCUUCGGGGUGUGACUGCGUACCUUUUGUAUAAUGGGUCAGCGACUUAUAUUCUGUAGCAA
rnacentral:rRNA from 1 species